AGUGAACGCUGGCGGUAGACCUAACACAUGCGAGUCGAACGGCAGCACAGUAAGAGCUUGCUCUUACGGGUGGCGAGUGGCGGACGGGUGAGGAAUACAUCGGAAUCUACUUUUUCGUGGGGGAUAACGUAGGGAAACUUACGCUAAUACAGCAUACGACCUACGGGUGAAAGCAGGGGAUCUUCGGACCUUGCGCGAUUGAAUGAGCCGAUGUCGGAUUAGCUAGUUGGCGGGGUAAAGGCCCACCAAGGCGACGAUCCGUAGCCGGGCUGAGAGGAUGAUCAGCCACACAGGAACUGAGACACGGUCCAGACUCCUACGGGAGGCAGCAGUGGGAAUAUUGGACAAUGGGCGCAAGCCUGAUCCAGCCAUACCGCGUGUGUGAAGAAGGCCUUCGGGUUGUAAAGCCCUUUUGUUGGGAAAGAAAAGCAGCAGGUUAAUACCCCGCUGUUCUGACGGUACCCAAAGAAUAAGCACCGGCUAACUUCGUG
rnacentral:rRNA from 1 species